rnacentral:rRNA from 1 species
CGCGUGUAGCAGUGAAAUGCGUAGAUAUGCGGAGGAACACCGAUGGCGAAGGCAGCCCCCUGGGAUGACACUGACGCUCAUGCACGAAAGCGUGGGGAGCAAACAGGAUUAGAUACCCUGGUAGUCCACGCCCUAAACGAUGUCAACUAGCUGUUGGGGCCUUCGGGCCUUGGUAGCGCAGCUAACGCGUGAAGUUGACCGCCUGGGGAGUACGGUCGCAAGAUUAAAACUCAAAGGAAUUGACGGGGACCCGCACAAGCGGUGGAUGAUGUGGAUUAAUUCGAUGCAACGCGAAAAACCUUACCUACCCUUGACAUGUCUGGAAUCCCGAAGAGAUUUGGGAGUGCUCGCAAGAGAACUGGAACACAGGUGCUGCAUGGCUGUCGUCAGCU